AGUUAAAAAGCUUAGAUUUUAUAAAAAGACGAGAAGACCCUAUAGAGUUUAAUAGGUUUAGAUUUUUAUCAUUUUAGGAUUUUAUAUAGAUUGAUUUUUAACUUAUUUUGUUGGGGUGAUAUAAGAAUUGAGUUAACUUCUUUUUAUAGGGACAUUGAUUAAUGAGUAAUGGAUCCUUAAAUUUGGAUUGAAAGAAUAAAUUACCUUAGGGAUAACAGCGUAAUUCUUUUGGAGAGUUCUAAUCGAUAAAAGGGAUUGCGACCUCGAUGUUGGAUUAAAGUUUAAUUUUGGUGUAGAAGCUAUAAUUUUG
rnacentral:rRNA from 1 species